GUCGACGGCAGCACAGAGGAGCUUGCUCCUUGGGUGGCGAGUGGCGGACGGGUGAGUAAUGCAUCGGGAUCUACCCUGACGUGGGGGAUAACCUCGGGAAACCGGGACUAAUACCGCAUACGUCCUACGGGAGAAAGCGGGGGACCUUCGGGCCUCGCGCGGCAGGACGAACCGAUGUGCGAUUAGCUAGUUGGCGGGGUAAUGGCCCACCAAGGCGACAAUCGCUAGCUGGUCUGAGAGGAUGAUCAGCCACACUGGGACUGAGACACGGCCCAAACUCCUACGGGAGGCAGCAGUGGGGAAUAUUGGACAAUGGGCGCAAGCCUGAUCCAGCAAUGCCGCGUGUGUGAAGAAGGCCUUCGGGUUGUAAAGCACUUUUAUCAGGAGCGAAAUACCACGGGUUAAUACCCUAUGGGGCUGACGGUACCUGAGGAAUAAGCACCGGCUAACUUCGUGCCAGCAGCCGCGGUAAUACGAAGGGUGCAAGCGUUAAUCGGAAUUACUGGGCGUAAAGGGUGCGUAGGCGGUUACUUAAGUCUGUCGUGAAAUCCCCGGGCUCAACCUGGGAAUGGCGAUGGAUACUGGGUGGCUAGAGUGUGUCAGAGGAUGGUGGAAUUCCCGGUGUAGCGGUGAAAUGCGUAGAGAUCGGGAGGAACAUCAGUGGCGAAGGCGGCCAUCUGGGACAACACUGACGCUGAAGCACGAAAGCGUGGGGAG
rnacentral:rRNA from 1 species